GACGAACGCUGGCGGCGUGCUUAACACAUGCAAGUCGAACGGAAAGGCCCUGCUGUUGUGGGGUGCUCGAGUGGCGAACGGGUGAGUAACACGUGAGUAACCUGCCCUUGACUUUGGGAUAACUUCAGGAAACUGGGGCUAAUACCGGAUAGGAGCUCCUGCUGCAUGGUGGGGGUUGGAAAGUUUCGGCGGUUGGGGAUGGACUCGCGGCUUAUCAGCUUGUUGGUGGGGUAGUGGCUUACCAAGGCUUUGACGGGUAGCCGGCCUGAGAGGGUGACCGGCAACAUUGGGACUGAGAUACGGCCCAGACUCCUACGGGAGGCAGCAGUGGGGAAUAUUGCACAAUGGGCGGAAGCCUGAUGCAGCAACGCCGCGUGCGGGAUGACGGCCUUCGGGUUGUAAACCGCUUUCGCCUGUGACGAAGCGUGAGUGACGGUAAUGAGUAAAGAAGCACCGGCUAACUACGUG
rnacentral:rRNA from 1 species